AUCGGGAUGAACUGGAAGUCAGUGGGAGUACACAAUACAGGAUGCAUUUCAUUUGUGUCUGCUGAGGAAUGUGAGCAAUCCUGCCUGGUGUUAUGAUCUCAGAGAGAUGCAGGAUAAAGAAAUGUACAGCUGUGAUGAGACGUUCGACUAUGUGCUUUAUCCUUCCAGAAAUUAAUGGAAGACACAUUCCUGGCACAAUAGUACCAAAUUCUGUGCAUGUUUCUUUUGCUCCCUUCGAGGCGCUAAGAAGACUCACUUUCAUUUCAAGAUUUUCCUCCAGCAAAGUAAUUUAUAGCCCUGAAAUUCUCUCUCAAAAUUUCACCAGAGACCCUUUCCAAACACUUCUUGUUCUAGUGCAGAGACACAUCCAUCCUUCAAGGUACAUUAAGGAGGAGUCAAUGACUAUUGUUGUCGCUCACCUGUGCUCUGUUAUGGCACAAACAUGA
rnacentral:lncRNA from 1 species